rnacentral:rRNA from 1 species
AGAGUUUGAUCAUGGCUCAGGAUUAACGCUGGCGGUAUGCCUAACACAUGCAAGUCGAACGGAAUACUCGAAAAGAGAAUCUCACACUAGUGAGAGGUUCUCCAACCGAGUAUUUAGUGGCGGACGGGUGAGUAACACGUUGGAACCUGCCCCGAAGUGGGGAAUAACUGCUCGAAAGAGUAGCUAAUACCCCAUAGUAUCCGGUUUAUCCGGAUUAAAGAUUUAUCGCUUCGGGAGGGGCCUGCGUCUGAUUAGCUCGUUGGUGGGGUAAAAGCUCACCAAGGCGACGAUCAGUAGCUGGUUCGAGAGGAUGACCAGCCACACUGGGACUGAGAUACGGCCCAGACUCCUACGGGAGGCAGCAGUGAGGAAUCUUCCACAAUGGACGAAAGUCUGAUGGAGCAAUACCGCGUGCAGGACGACGCUUUUCGGAGUGUAAACUGCUUUUGUCGUCGAAGAUUAUGACUGUAGACGAAGAAUAAGGACCGGCUAACUACGUG